GGGUUAUUAGCUCAGUUUGGUCUAGAGCAUACGGCUUUUAACCGUACAUUCCUGAGUUCAAAUCUCAGAUAACCCU
rnacentral:tRNA from 1 species